rnacentral:rRNA from 1 species
UACGAAGGGGGCUAGCGUUGUUCGGAAUUACUGGGCGUAAAGCGUGCGCAGGCGGCUUCUCAAGUCAGGGGUGAAAGCCCAGAGCUCAACUCUGGAAUUGCCUUUGAGACUGAGUGGCUUGAGUACGAGAGAGGUGAGUGGAAUUCCCAGUGUAGAGGUGAAAUGCGUAGAUAUCUGGAGGAACACCGGUGGCGAAGGCGGCAUCCUGGACCAACACUGACACUGAGGAGCGAAAGCCAGGGGAGCAAACGGG